GGGCGCCGGACCCGCGCAGCGCCGCGCUGCCCACCGGCACCGGCCCGGCCCGGCCCGGCCGAGCGCAGCGGGCCCGGCCAGCCCUGCCGGGAGGGCGCAGCCGCCGGCCGUGUGCGCCUCGGGGCUGCGCGCCCCGCGUCUCGCAGCGCCCGCAGCUACGGUACAGCAGCUCUGAACUCGCAGGUCCGGCUACUCUCAAACAAUACUGAGGUUUUCAUCUCGCUCUACAUAACCUAUGGGACGUAAAUGCUUUUCAUUUAGGAUAGUGUCACUUUUGCUUAUUUCGCCACUGAGCAACACUUCAGGUUACCAGAGAAGUUUGUAUUGAGAAGAUACAAAAUCCACCAAAUGGAUAGUCCUGCAUUUCUCCAUUAAAACUGAUUCUGAAACUUUUUUUAAUACAAUGUAACAUUCUAGUAUUCUAUGUGAUAAUUAGAGUAGCUGGAUUCAUUAAAUAAACUAGAUACUUUU